GAUGAACGCUGGCGGCGUGCCUAAUACAUGCAAGUCGAGCGAACGGACGAGAAGCUUGCUUCUCUGAUGUUAGCGGCGGACGGGUGCGUAACACGUGGAUAACCUACCUAUAAGACUGGGAUAACUUCGGGAAACCGGAGCUAAUACCGGAUAAUAUUUUGAACCGCAUGGUUCAAAAGUGAAAGACGGUCUUGCUGUCACUUAUAGAUGGAUCCGCGCUGCAUUAGCUAGUUGGUAAGGUAACGGCUUACCAAGGCAACGAUGCAUAGCCGACCUGAGAGGGUGAUCGGCCACACUGGAACUGAGACACGGUCCAGACUCCUACGGGAGGCAGCAGUAGGGAAUCUUCCGCAAUGGGCGAAAGCCUGACGGAGCAACGCCGCGUGAGUGAUGAAGGUCUUCGGAUCGUAAAACUCUGUUAUUAGGGAAGAACAUAUGUGUAAGUAACUGUGCACAUCUUGACGGUACCUAAUCAGAAAGCCACGGCUAACUACGUG
rnacentral:rRNA from 1 species